rnacentral:rRNA from 1 species
AUUGAACGCUGGCGGCAUGCCUUACACAUGCAAGUCGAACGGCAGCACGGGUGCUUGCACCUGGUGGCGAGUGGCGAACGGGUGAGUAAUACAUCGGAACAUGUCCUGUAGUGGGGGAUCGCCCGGCGAAAGCCUGAUUAAUACCGCAUACGAUCCACGGAUGAAAGCGGGGGACCUUCGGUCCUCGCGCUCUCGGGUUUGCCGAUGGCUGAUUAGCUAGUUGGUGGGGUAAAGGCCUACCAAGGCGACGAUCAGUAGCUGGUCUGAGAGGACGACCAGCCACACUGGGACUGAGACACGGCCCAGACUCCUACGGGAGGCAGCAGUGGGGAAUUUUGGACAAUGGGCGAAAGCCUGAUCCAGCAAUGCCGCGUGUGUGAAGAAGGCCUUCGGGUUGUAAAGCACUUUUGUCCGGAAAGAGAUCCUUGGCUCUAAUACAGUCGGGGGAUGACGGUACCGGAAGAAUAAGCACCGGCUAACUACGUG